rnacentral:rRNA from 1 species
GCGCUGCAGACUGCGGAGGACAUUAUCGAGUUUUGAAGCGAGAGGUCUGUGCUGGCGCGGAAACGCGUAUGUGCACGGCUUUUCGUGCUCAAAUCCAUUUCAACCCCUGUGCACCUUUAAGAGUCGAAGUCGGUAGUCUCUGUAAUUGAACGGGGCUUUGGAGUAUGCUUACCGGCAGAAAAGAGGCCUUUACUAGAGAAAAGGAGGCGAAGGCUUUUGGCUAAUAUUACAAAACACACUUUGAUUGUUAUGUGAAUGUAAUGCUCGUUGUGAGCGAUAAUGAAAUACAACUUUCAACAACGGAUCUCUUGGCUCUCGCAUCGAUGAAGAACGCAGCGAAAUGCGAUAAGUAAUGUGAAUUGCAGAAUUCAGUGAAUCAUCGAAUCUUUGAACGCACCUUGCGCCCCUUGGUAUUCCGAGGGGCAUGCCUGUUUGAGUGUCAUGUUAAUCUCAAAUCACUUGUUCUUUUCUUUACGGGAAGGAAGUGGUGGUUUGGACUUGGAGGUUUUUGCUGGCCCCAUUUGGUCGGCUCCUCUCAAAUACAUUAGCUGGACUUUGGUCUGCGUUUUACGGUGUGAUAAUUAUCACUUCACCAGAGCGCUUGCCUAAUGGGUCUGCUUCUAAUCGUCCUUAAGUUGGACAAGGAUCCCGUGAGUGGGCCUUCUUGACACCUUUGACCUCAAAUCAGGUAGGACUACCCGCUGAACUUAAGCAUACAA